GCUCUCUGGGUGGCGAGUGGCGGACGGGUGAGGAAUACAUCGGAAUCUACCUUUUCGUGGGGGAUAACGUAGGGAAACUUACGCUAAUACCGCAUACGACCUACGGGUGAAAGUGGGGGACCGCAAGGCCUCACGCGAUUAGAUGAGCCGAUGUCCGAUUAGCUAGUUGGCGGGGUAAUGGCCCACCAAGGCGACGAUCGGUAGCUGGUCUGAGAGGAUGAUCAGCCACACUGGAACUGAGACACGGUCCAGACUCCUACGGGAGGCAGCAGUGGGGAAUAUUGGACAAUGGGCGCAAGCCUGAUCCAGCCAUACCGCGUGGGUGAAGAAGGCCUUCGGGUUGUAAAGCCCUUUUGUUGGGAAAGAAAUCCUAUCGGUUAAUAACCGGUGGGGAUGACGGUACCCAAAGAAUAAGCACCGGCUAACUUCGUGCCAGCAGCCGCGGUAAUACGAAGGGUGCAAGCGUUACUCGGAAUUACUGGGCGUAAAGCGUGCGUAGGUGGUGGUUUAAGUCUGCUGUGAAAGCCCUGGGCUCAACCUGGGAAUUGCAGUGGAUACUGGAUCACUAGAGUGUGGUAGAGGGAUGCGGAAUUUCUGGUGUAGCAGUGAAAUGCGUAGAGAUCAGAAGGAACAUCCGUGGCGAAGGCGGCAUCCUGGGCC
rnacentral:rRNA from 1 species